ensembl:snRNA U2 U2 spliceosomal RNA
AUCGCUGCUCAGCCUUUUGGCUAAGAUCAAGUGUAGUAUCUGUUCUUAUCAACUUGGGAGACAUGGCUCUCAGUGAGUCCAGUCUGUGACCCAGUAUAAGAAUCUCCAUCAUAACAUCCAGGGCAAGCUAAUGGUCACUCAGUCUCUGAGCUUGUCUAUUUAUU